rnacentral:rRNA from 1 species
UACGAAGGGGGCUAGCGUUGCUCGGAAUUACUGGGCGUAAAGCGCACGUAGGCGGCUUUCUAAGUCGGAGGUGAAAUCCUGGAGCUCAACUCCAGAACUGCCUUUGAUACUGGGUAUCUAGAGUCCGGAAGAGGUGAGUGGAACUCCUAGUGUAGAGGUGGAAUUCGUAGAUAUUAGGAAGAACACCAGUGGCGAAGGCGGCUCACUGGUCCGGUACUGACGCUGAGGUGCGAAAGCGUGGGGAGCAAACAGG